AGAGUGAACGCUGGCGGUAGGCCUAACACAUGCAAGUCGAACGGCAGCACGGUAAGAGCUUGCUCUUAUGGGUGGCGAGUGGCGGACGGGUGAGGAAUACAUCGGAAUCUACCUUUUGGUGGGGGAUAACGUAGGGAAACUUACGCUAAUACCGCAUACGCCCUUCGGGGGAAAGCCGGGGACCAGCAAUGGCCUGGCGCUGAUAGAUGAGCCGAUGUCGGAUUAGCUAGUUGGUGAGGUAAAGUGCUCAACGAGACGACGAUCGUAGCUGGUUUGAGAGGACGACCAGCCACACUGGGACUGAGACACGGCCCAGACUCCUACGGGAGGCAGCAGUGGGAAUUUUGGACAAUGGGGGAAACCCUGAUCCAGGCCAUCCCGCGUGUGCGAUGAAGGCCUUCGGUGUAAAGCACGUUUUGCGAAGGUAAGAAACGGCGUCUCGUUAAGUACGACGGCGU
rnacentral:rRNA from 1 species